GUGCAAAGGUAGCAUAAUCAUUAGGAGUUUAAUUGGAACCUGGUAUGAAGGGUUGGACAAAGGAAAAACUGUCUUUAUAGUGGAAAUUGAAGUUUACUUUUAAGUGAAAAGGCUUAAAUAUAUCAGGGGGACGAUAAGACCCUAUAAAACUUUACAGAAAUUUAAAUUUAGUUAAUAUUGAUUAAUAAAGAUUAAGUUUAAUUAUUUUGUUUUGUUGGGGUGAUGUGAGUAUAAUUAUUGGUAACUGCUUAGGGAAAAUACUGAAAUAAGAGAUUUAUAUGAAUAUGAUCCUUUUUAGAGAUUAAAAGACUAAGUUACUUUAGGGAUAACAGCGUUAUUUCUCUUGAGAGUUCAUAUCGAAAGAGGAGAUUGCGACCUCGAUGUUGAAUUAAAAUAUCUAUAUAAUGUAGCCGUUAUAAAAGAGGGUCUGUUCGACCUUUAAAUUUUUACAUGAUUUGAGUUCAAACCGG
rnacentral:rRNA from 1 species